ensembl:snoRNA
AUUCUCUCUUGUACAUAUUGAUGUUCAUUCCUUUAUUCAAGAAGAUGCAGAACUUUGAAUAGGAAGAUCUGAUAC